UACAGAGGGUGCUAGCGUUGUUCGGAAUCAUUGGGCGUAAAGGGCGCGUAGGCGGCCUCUGCAAGUCGACUGUGAAACCUUCGGGCUUAACCCGGAACGGUCAGCCGAUACUGCAGGGCUAGAGUGCAGAAGGGGCAACUGGAAUUCUCGGUGUAGCGGUGAAAUGCGUAGAUAUCGAGAGGAACACCUGCGGCGAAGGCGGGUUGCUGGGCUGACACUGACGCUGACAGCGCGAAAGCUAGGGGAGCGAACGGG
rnacentral:rRNA from 1 species